rnacentral:tRNA from 1 species
UGCGGGGUGGAGCAGUCCGGUAGCUCGUUGGGCUCAUAACCCAAAGGUCAGAGGUUCACUCGGAGGCCAGGACGGCCGGAGAGCACUGCGCAGGCAGCAAAUGCUGCCGAGCAGCCCCUUGAGGGCGGUGAGCCGGAUGCGAGCCGUGAAAUCCUCUCCCCGCUACCA